rnacentral:rRNA from 1 species
AUUGAACGCUGGCGGCAGGCCUAACACAUGCAAGUCGAGCGAGCGGGGCACGGGGGAGUAAUGUAUGGGGGCUGCCCGUUAGAGGGGGGUAACUACUGGGAACGGUAGCGAAUACACCACAUUAUAGGAUAACCCAUAUGGGAUUAGCGCGUAGGUGCGGUAAUGGCUCACCUAGGCGACAAUCCCUAGCUGGUCUGAGAGGAUGUGCCGCCAAACUGGAACUGAGACACGGCCCAGACUCCUACGGAGGCAGCAGUGGGGAAUAUUGCACAAUGGGCGCAAGCCUGAUGCAGCCAUGCCGCGGGUAUGAAGAAGGCCCUAGGGUUGUAAAGUACUUUCAGUCGGGAGGCGUUACCGACAGAAGAAGCACCGGCUAACUCCGUGCCAGCAGCCGCGGUAAUUC